rnacentral:rRNA from 1 species
CCUACGGGCGGCAGCAGUGAGGAAUAUUGGUCAAUGGACGAGAGUCUGAACCAGCCAAAUAGCGUGAAGGAUGACUGCCCUAUGGGUUGUAAACUUCUUUUAUAUGGGAAUAAAAUGUUCCACGUGUGGGAUUUUGUAUGUACCAUAUGAAUAAGGAUCGGCUAACUCCGUGCCAGCAGCCGCGGUAAUACGGAGGAUCCGAGCGUUAUCCGGAUUUAUUGGGUUUAAAGGGAGCGUAGGUGGAUUGUUAAGUCAGUUGUGAAAGUUUGCGGCUCAACCGUAAAAUUGCAGUUGAAACUGACAGUCUUGAGUACAGUAGAGGUGGGCGGAAUUCGUGGUGUAGCGGUGAAAUGCUUAGAUAUCACGAAGAACUCCGAUUGCGAAGGCAGUUCACUGGACUGCAACUGACACUGAGGCUCGAAAGUGUGGGUAUCAAACAGGAUUAGAUACCCGAGUAGUC